rnacentral:rRNA from 1 species
UACGUAGGGUGCAAGCGUUGUCCGGAAUUAUUGGGCGUAAAGAGCUCGUAGGCGGUCUGUUGCGUCGGCUGUGAAAACCCGGGGCUCAACUCCGGGCCUGCAGCCGAUACGGGCAGACUAGAGUUCGGCAGGGGAGACUGGAAUUCCUGGUGUAGCGGUGGAAAUGCGCAGAUAUCAGGAGGAACACCGGUGGCGAAGGCGGGUCUCUGGGCCGAUACUGACGUGAGGAGCGAAAGCGUGGGGAGCGAACAGG